AUACGCGAAACGGCACCGGAUCAUAUCAGAACAUAAACAAGACGAAAUGAUGGAUGUGCCUAAUAUUGUGAGCGAAAAAGUCAACAAGACCGCACUGAAACGGAAGAGAAAAUCGUCUCUGUGGUUACAUCAACCAAAAAAAAACUAAAUUCCGCGAAGAAAACUUACCUGCAACAGUACCUUCCACAUCAACAAGUAAAUCCGAUUCUGAGGCUGCAUUAUGUGAGAAACCAGAGUGUGUCCCAGCACUCCUACCUUAUUUACUUUACUAGACUCACGAAAUUUGGGACACAUUUUGCAAAACCGAAAUCAUGCAUUUGAUUCACCUACGAGGCUUGGAAAAAGACAACGAAAAUCGAAACGGUCAGAUAUCAGCAGACGGCAUGAGGUCGCAAGGGGCUGUUUGCCAAUUCGCAGCCACCACAAAUGCGAUGAGUCAAAGAUUCUGCCAACCACUCGUCUUGGUAUAACGUUGGAGGACACUAUGAAAGUGUAAAUUGUAUUAUGUCACCACAUUAGGAGAACAAAGUGUUCAUCACGGAACAGAACGAACUACUAUGUCACUAUUAAAAUAGUUGAUUAAAUAAAGGUCUUAACAUGGCAGUACAUACCUAACGCGGUGUUCGCAUGUGGUGCACUGUUCCUGUUCUAUUUCAACGACCAUUAGACAGUUGAAUUAAACUUUCAAUUUUAUCAACAUGUCCAAUGUAUUUUAUGAAAAUUUGGAGAAAGUGAAAUCUAAUAUCGCAAUAAUAACUACUAUUUGUUUCAACUUACCUUUUAGGGGUUUCGAAUGUAAUUUAGCAAAAAGCAUUUAAAUGAAUAUACAUUUGUAGUUUUUUUGAACGAGUCCCCCCUUCCAAUAUCAGCAAUGUGAUUUGAAUGUGCUCGCUACUUAGGCUUGUGUAUUGACAUAAAACAUAUUGUUUUGACAAGUGACAGGUUGUUAUAUGAUCUUUGGAUGUUUCAAUACACAGGAUAUUGGUUUUUUGAAAC